UACGUAGGGGGCUAGCGUUGUCCGGAAUCAUUGGGCGUAAAGCGCGUGUAGGCGGUUCGGUAAGUCCGCUGUGAAAGUCGGGGGCUCAACCCUCGAAAGCCGGUGGAAACUGUCGGGCUAGAGUACGGAAGAGGCGAGUGGAAUUCCUGGUGUAGCGGUGAAAUGCGCAGGAUAUCAGGAGGAACACCAAUUGCGAAGGCAGCUCGCUGGGACGUUACUGACGCUGAGACGCGGAAAGCGUGGGGAGCAAACAGG
rnacentral:rRNA from 1 species